GCGGGUGUGGUGUAACGGUAGCAAGAUUGGCUUCCACUCAGUUCGCCAGAGUUCAAAUCUCUGUGCCCGCACCA
rnacentral:tRNA from 1 species